rnacentral:rRNA from 1 species
AUUGAACGCUGGCGGCAGGCCUAACACAUGCAAGUCGAACGAGUGGCGGACGGGUGAGUAAUGUCUGGGGAACUGCCCGAUGGAGGGGGCUAACUACUGGAAACGGUAGCUAAUACCGCAUACCAUCGGAUGUGCCCAGAUGGGAUUAGCUUGUAGGUGAGGUAACGGCUCACCUAGGCGACGAUCCCUAGCUGGUCUGAGAGGAUGACCAGCCAACAUGGAACUGAGACACGGCCCAGACUCCUACGGGAGGCAGCAGUGGGGAAUAUUGCACAAUGGGCGCAAGCCUGAUGCAGCCAUGCCGCGUGUAUGAAGAAGGCAUGAGGGUUGUAAAGUACUUGCAGUGGGGAGGCGUUACCCACAGAAGAAGCACCGGCUAACUCCGUGCCAGCCGCCGCGGUAAUAC